rnacentral:rRNA from 1 species
UUUUCGGAUGGAUUUUUGAUUGACUGAGUGGCGGACGGGUGAGUAACGCGUGGAUAACCUGCCUCACACUGGGGGAUAACAGUUGGAAACGACUGCUAAUACCGCAUAAGCCCACGGCUCGGCAUCGAGCAGAGGGAAAAGGAGUAAUCCGCUUUGAGAUGGCCUCGCGUCUGAUUAGCUAGUUGGUGAGGUAACGGCCCACCAAGGCGACGAUCGGUAGCCGGACUGAGAGGUCGAACGGCCACAUUGGGACUGAGACACGGCCCAGACUCC